rnacentral:rRNA from 1 species
AUGGCUCAGGAUGAACGCUAGCGGCAGGCUAACACAUGCAAGUCGAGGGGCAGCGGGAUGUAGCAAUACAUUGCCGGCGACCGGCGGAUGGGUGCGUAACGCGUAUGCAACCUACCUUAUACAGGGGAAUAACCUUUCGAAAGGGAGACUAACACCCCAUAGUAUUGAUUUAAGGCAUCUUAGAUUAAUUAAAUAUUUAUAGGUAUAAGAUGGGCAUGCGUAUGAUUAGCUAGUUGGUAAGGUAACGGCUUACCAAGGCGACGAUCAUUAGGGGUUCUGAGAGGAAGGUCCCCCACACUGGUACUGAGACACGGACCAGACUCCUACGGGAGGCAGCAGUGAGGAAUAUUGGUCAAUGGGCGCAAGCCUGAACCAGCCAUGCCGCGUGCAGGAAGACGGCCUUAUGGGUUGUAAACUGCUUUUACAUAAGACUAACCGUAUAUUUGCGAAUAUACCUGAAUGUAUUAUGAGAAUAAGGAUCGGCUAACUCCGUGCCAGCCGCCGC